CCUACGGGAGGCAGCAGUGGGGGAUAUUGCACAAUGGGGGGGAACCCUGAUGCAGCGACGCCGCGUGGGUGAAGGAGUGCUUCGGCAUGUAAAGCCCUAUCGGCAGGGAAGAAGCAAGACGGUACCUGACUAAGAAGCCCCGGCUAACUACGUGCCAGCAGCCGCGGUAAUACGUAGGGGGCGAGCGUUAUCCGGAUUCACGGGGUGUAAAGGGCGCGUAGACGGCCAUGCAAGCCAGGGGUGAAAGCCCGGGGCCCAACCCCGGGACUGCCCUUGGAACUGUGCGGCUAGAGUGCGGGAGGGGCAGGCGGAAUUCCGGGUGUAGCGGUGAAAUGCGUAGAUAUCAGGAGGAACACCGGCGGCGAAGGCGGCCUGCUGGACUGCGACUGACGUUGAGGCUCGAAAGCGUGGGGAGCGAACAGGAUUAGAUACCCUAGUAGUC
rnacentral:rRNA from 1 species